GUGGGAUUUUCCACCCCGGUGUGGUCUCCACUUUGGCGGCCCCAUUCUGCAGUCAUUCAGCCGUCAAGAAACAUGGACAACUCUUCAGAACACCUAAAUUUGUUGCUGCACCUAAUUUUUCCUUACUAACACCGUAAUUUCCUUAAACCGUCCUGUCAUGGGGCCACAUUGAACAAGUAUUCAGAGGCUCCCAUAAACUUUGAUUUAAGAAGAAGAAGAAUCUAAUGUAUUCACCUUCCAGCCGUCAACAACAACAAAUUAACCCAUGUAUUGCAGUUGUUGGAGAAUAGGCCCUGAAGUUGGAAUUCAAAGCACCUUAUUUCAUGUAAAGUGUUAGUAACCACUGAAGAAUAGGGUCCUUCAUAUAAAUGGCUUCAAGAGAGGCUGCUCGUGAAGCUCUCCACUAUGUGGCUAUCAACUUGAGCCCAUUUCUUGCUUUGGCAAACUGCCACUUGGUGGAUGUGUUUGUGUAUGAUGUAUGGCACAAAGUCUUACCUCCGCUGCUAUGGGAUUGUCUCAACGAAAUUUCACCAAAGGAUCUGUGCUCCAUGUUUGGACCUUCUCAGGAAUCUACUCAACUACUUGACUGGAUCAAGAGUGACCUCCCAUCUUUGCACAAGUUCCUUUGUUGCUGCACUUGAUGCAUGUCAGUCAACUUGGUGUACUGAGCUCCAAACAAGAGAGCCAUAAAUUUGAGGGAACAGGUACUUGCAGCGGCACAGCAGCACGCCCCGCCAGCGACCGCCACGGAGGACCUGCAGUGCCUCAUGCCACUGAAGAAGGCGCAUGAGGGGAUGGCCAUGGCGGAGCUUAUGGCGGCUCUCUGUGCCGGUGAGAGAAGAGGGGGUGCUGGUGAGACGAGGAGGUGCUGGUGAGACGAAGGGGUGCUGGUGAGACAAGGAGGUGCUGGUGAG